UGUCCCUGCCGGAGUGCCCAUGGGACCAAAUCUUGUUAAGUUCCUCUUUCAGUCUCUACUGACUUUCUCCUUGUCUGUAAAUCUGUACACCUUACUACUGGUGGCCCAUCCUGCAGCCUGUUACCAUCCUGUCUGUGAUCCACAGCAGCUGUGGGGGUUGCGAUUCUCCUGAUGAGAGAUCUAGGGCCAUGCCUGCUAGAGUAGAAGAAGGUGGGAGAGACAGAAGAACACGUGACAAUGGCUUGGGCUCCAAGAAGCUCCUGACCCCAUCUCACUCACACAUUAUACAGAGCUAAAGGCAAUGAGGUGAAGGCAGAAAGGCACCUGUCCUCCUCAUGCAGCUUGGAUGUCCACAUCACAAUUUCCAAGACAAGCUGGAUGGGUUGAGAAGCAAGAAGCAGUUCCUGGUUUUGAUCCAGGGCCCCCUACUGGUCACCUGUCAGCUGGGAUGGACACUAAUUCCCCCCUGAGUUGGCAGGGUGUAGGGUUGUCACCUGUGCAGUCCUGUUCUGUCUUUCCUGAAAAGCUAGCAAAGAACUGACCACCAGGAGCAGAGCCACAGCCUGUCUGGAAUCAUUGAACACUGCACAGUGUUGGCUUUGUUUUGUUUUUGUAUAAUGAAGCCUUGAUGAGGCUUAAGAUCUCGCGUCAAUCAGCUGGGUAUACAGACCCAGGUAGUACUGCCUUGUAGAGAAAGGACAAGCCUGAGAACCUCCCCAGGUGGUUGAUCGCUUCCAGUCAAGUCUGUUGAUGAUGCUGAAUGCUGUCCAGUUACACAGCCAGUCUGUUAUCAAAAUAGGAUCCUUAACCUACUUAGUUAAGAAGUGGCCUUUUGAGUCACAGUUUUCUUAGGACCUGGGAUACAAUAGAAGGAUUUCUAUUUAAGCCUCAUCCAACUUUCCACCUGUGUCAUAUCUACAUGAGUUUACGCCCCCAUGUCAUGUCUACAUGAGUUUACACCCCCAUGUCAUGUCUACAUGAAUUUAUACCUUCAUGUAAGCAAGCAUCCAUCCUCAUAGGUCUCCCCGGAGUGUCCUGAGAUUCAGGACCAGGAAUUACAGCAACCACGCUGUGCUGUGCAAUACUUUUUUGUGUAUUAUUGAUGGUACUUUGUGGAAGUAAAUUGUACCACCCCCACAGUUCCUCAAGCCAUCACUGCCAGUCUAUUAGCAUUUUGUGGCCGGAGGGGACAGCUGGCUGGCUGUUUGAGCCGUGUGAAAGAUCCCACCGGCAAAGCAGCAUGCCAAAAGUGCAGA
rnacentral:lncRNA from 1 species